rnacentral:rRNA from 1 species
UACGUAGGGUGCAAGCGUUGCCCGGAUUUAUUGGGCGUAAAGGGCGCGCAGGCGGCCGAGCACGUCCGUUGUGAAAUCGCCUGGCUCAACUGGGCGGGGUCAGCGGAUACGGCUAGGCUGGAGCAAGCUAGGGGGCAAUGGAAUUCCGCGUGUAGCAGUGAAAUGCGCAGAUAUCAGGAGGAACACCAAUUGCGAAGGCAGCUCGCUGGGACGUAACUGACGCUGAGACGCGAAAGCGUGGGGAGCAAACAGG